rnacentral:rRNA from 1 species
GACGAACGCUGGCGGCGUGCUUAACACAUGCAAGUCGAACGGAAAGGCCCUGCUUUUGUGGGGUGCUCGAGUGGCGAACGGGUGAGUAACACGUGAGUAACCUGCCCUUGACUUUGGGAUAACUUCAGGAAACUGGGGCUACUACCGUAUAGGAGCUCCUGCUGCAUGGUGGGGGUUGGAACGUUUCGGCGGUUGGGGAUGGACUCGCGGCUUAUCAGCUUGUUGGUGGGGUAGUGGCUUACCAAGGCUUUGACGGGUAGCCGGCCUGAGAGGGUGACCGGCCACAUUGGGACUGAGAUACGGCCCAGACUCCUACGGGAGGCAGCAGUGGGGAAUAUGGCACAAUGGGCGGACGCCUGAUGCGGCAACGCCGCGUGCGGGAUGACGGCCUUCGGGUUGUAAACCGCAUUCGCCUGUGACGAAGCGUGAGUGACGGUAAUGGGUGAAGAAGCACCGGCUAACUACGUG